CUGAGUUGGAAAUUUAGAAACGGAAUGCAGCUUUAUUCACACCUUCCUCUUUAACAAAAUGUAUUUUGACAGCUACCCUUUUAUUCAUUGAAUUUGGCAUGCACUAUUUAUUGACCAAAUAGUGGAGCUUCAAUAUUAAGCAGGAAAAAAUUACAGAUUUAUACUUUGAAGCCUCCUGAAAAAACCUUCCUUGAAAAAACUUCCAUUGAAAACCUCUGGUGCAAUAUUUCAGAUGUUUACCUGUAAUACCAACCUGUUACUCACAAUUAUAUACCACAAAAUAUCCAAGACAAGUCUCCACUACACAUAUCAUUCCCUUCUUUUAUUCUACUGGUAUGUAGAGCCUUGUGCUUCUGAAAGCUGACAUAUCUUUUUAGUAUGGACUGGCUCUGUACUAUCUUGAAAAAUAAACUGUAUGCAUUUCCAAUGUUCUGUAUGUUCUUCUAAUUUGGGAUUACAUUUCUGUUUUAGAUGUUUAAUUUCAAGCAAAAUCCAGUCUUCCCUAAAAUUCACAGCAUGGUGCACUACUGGCUAACACUGCUCGUACAAGAUGGGCCAACACUUACCUUCCUGUCUGCUUCUACUCAUAGGUCCUAAUACAAAUUCUCUGACAACCUUAUUGAAUUUUUCUAUACUUAUUGAUGAUUGUUUUUUUAUUCCAUGCAAAUUUAAUUCUGGUUUUCUGUUUGUUGUGAACAUUAAUAUGCCUCUCUCUAUAUUGCAAUUUACUGCACUGAUUGUGAGCCUGCCCUGAGACAGUACUAUGAAAUUUUCUGAACAGGAGUGAACCUCUUGAUAAGUGAAGCUGUGUUUUUAAUCUUUAAAGAUUCUUUUCUUUCAGGAAGUUUUCCGGAGGAUUGGAGGAAGGUGGAUGUGGUUCCUAUAUUCAAAAAGGGUUCAUAAUCCUUGCCUGGAAAAUAUAAACCUGUGAGCUUAAAAUCUGUGGCUGGGAAAGUAUUUGAAAGGUUAUUAAGGGAUAAUAUUCAAGAGUUCCUUGAGAAGAAGGUGGUUAUCAGCAAAAAUCAGCAUGGUUUUAUUAGGAAGUAAUAAGAAGUAUAGAUCAGGGUAUUGCAGUGGAUGUGAUCUAUUUGGAUUUUGCCAAGGCGUUUGAUAUAAUUCCAGACACUAGAUUAGUGUUCAAACUCAAAUAAAUCGGUCUAGAUGAAAAAUCUUGUUCUUGGGUAGGGCAUUGGCUUAAAAAUAGAGUACAGAGAGUUGUCAUUAAUUAUACAUUUGCAAGCUGGACAGAGGUGGCAAGUGGUGUCCCGCAGAGUUCUGUUCUGGGACCCCUUCUAUUAAACAUGCUUAAAUAUAUGAUCUUGAAAAAAGCAUUGAAAGUCAUGUUUCAGUGUUUGCAGAUGACACAAAACUCUGUAAAGUAAUACAAUGUGAGCAAGAUAUUAUUUUGCUGCAGAGGGAUUUAGAUAGACUGGGGGACUGGGCACUCAAAUAACAGAUUACAUUUAAUGUAGAAAAAUGCAAAGUUAUGCACUUCGGCAUAAAGAAUGCACAAGCAACUUAUCUCCUUAAUGGAAGCGACCACAUCUUGAAUAUACUGUGCAAUUUUUGGCACCUGUUCUAAAGAAGGAUAUCAUGGCACUAGAAAGAG